rnacentral:rRNA from 1 species
UUCCGGUUGAUCCCGCCGGACCUGACUGCUAUCGGAUUGGUACUAAGCCAUGCGAGUCGUUGUAGCAAUACAAGGCGGACGGCUCAGUAACACGUAGUCAACCUAACCUAUGGACGUGGAUAACCUCGGGAAACUGAGAAUAAACCGCGAUAGAUCAUUAUGCCUGGAAUGGCUUAUGGUUCAAACAAUUUAUUGCCGUAGGAUGGGACUGCGGCCUAUCAGCUUGUUGGUGAGGUAAUGGCCCACCAAGGCUAUAACAGGUGCGGGCUCUGAGAGGAGAAGCCCGGAGAUGGGUACUGAGACACGGACCCAGGCCCUAUGGGGCGCAGCAGGCGAGAAACCUUAGCAAUGUGCGAAAGCACGACUAGGUUAAUCCGAGUGAUUUCUGUUGAAGAAGUCUUUUGUCAGUCGUAAAACCACAGACGAAUAAGGGGUGGGCAAGUCUGGUGUCAGCCGCCGCGGUAAUACCAGCACCUCGAGUGGUCAGGAGGUUUAUUGGGCCUAAAGCAUCCGUAGCCGGCUUUGCAAGUCUCCGGUUAAAUCCAGCUGCUCAACAGAUGGGCUGCCGGAGAUACUACAAAGCUAGGGAGCGGGAGAGGUAGACGGUAUUCGGUGGGUAGGGGUAAAAUCCACUGAUCCAUCGAGGACCACCAGUGGCGAAGGCGGUCUACCAGAACGCGUUCGACGGUGAGGGAUGAAAGCUGGGGGAGCAAACCGGAUUAGAUACCCGGGUAGUCCCAGCUGUAAACGAUGCAAACUCGGUGAUGCAUUGGCUUAUGGCCAAUGCAGUGCCGCAGGGAAGCCGUUAAGUUUGCCGCCUGGGAAGUACGGACGCAAGUCUGAAACUUAAAGGAAUUGGCGGGGGAGCACCACAAGGGGUGAAGCCUGCGGUUCAAUUGGAUUCAACGCCGGA